GGUACGAUGCGCCUAACCCGUCCUCGUCAGAGGUGCGUGUGUUGGCGUGCGUCUGCCAUCUUUCUAGACAGCGGCAUCUUCCUUCAUUGGUUUGGUGUUCGUCUUCUAGAUCUUUUACUUUGAAAAAAUUAGAGUGUUUAAAGCAGGCUUGCGCUAUGAAUACAUUAGCAUGGAAUAAUAAUUUAGGACUUUGUUUCUAUUUUGUUGGUUUCUAGAGGCGAAGUA
rnacentral:rRNA from 1 species